UGCGGCUCAUUAGAAGUAACCAGUUGCCGUAAGGUGCGUGUAUACACCGGGAGGCCUUCCUUUCAGCAGUCGGGGAGGCUUCAUUAAUCGGCGCUAACAAGGCGUGCAAAUGCAGAGACUGGGCAGCUUUCUUGCAACGCCGGGGCCUUAGCAGGGCGCCAGGCUAAUGAGGGUCACUAAAAGGGGCUGAUCAAAUAUUCAAAUUUCCCCGCGCACCAGGAACUUUUAUGAGGGGAGAAAGUUGAGGCAACUGAGUAGUGUUUACUCACGGG
ensembl:misc_RNA